UCGACCUCAAGCACUUGGGAAUGAAAAAUCCACCUAAAGCCAAAACACCCAAACAAGUUUUCAUUCUAUGGGUGUUUUUUUAUUUUUUAUACCAUUUUUUCAGUGUUUCUUAUAUAAUAGUACCUAUUUUAUGUCGAAUUUAGUGGGUGCCGAAUCACCCCAAAAUAAAACGUGGUCCGCCCCUGCCUAUCAGCUUGCUACAAAUAACCAAAUGGAGUUACCUGCUCUAAUUGAAGGGCUUAGAUUAAGAUUAAGAAGGCUGAGAGCUCCGUAGUGCAGCAUUGCUAGAGGGAACAGAACCCAAGUGGCAGAUUCAAUGGCAAAAUAAGGAGCAGUGACAAAAGAUUUGUAUAGUUCCUCUAAUGUUUGUCAGAAAGUGUGAUCAGACAUGGUAGAAACUAUUUUUGAUAGACAAAUCAAUCAUUGUAAUAAGUCCCAAUAUACCAUGGGAAACUCCUUUUCUAUUAACCCAAACUAGAUGUCUGAUGUUUGUAAUCUCUACUACUGACUUGCUUAUUUAAUAGUACCCUUGUUAGCAAAAAAAAAAAAGAAUAAACAGAGAAUCAGAGUCAUUCUUUCAAAUA